AUGCUUCAGCCAUGUUCCACUGCUGUGUCAGUGACAUGCCCAGCUGAUCAAGGCCUUCAAGAUCAGGGCGCGCAAGCGCUGGUUCAGAGCGGCGUCUGUUACGCCAUUUUUCAUUACCCAUCAGGGAUCUCUUUCCCGGAUGGGGC
rfam:Aedes aegypti strain Liverpool supercont1.1443 genomic scaffold, whole genome shotgun sequence.